AACGAACGCUGGCGGCAUGCCUAACACAUGCAAGUCGAACGGGAUCCUAGCUUGCUAGGUGAGAGUGGCGGACGGGUGAGUAACACGUGGGAAUCUGCCUUUCGGUUCGGGAUAACCGCGGGAAACUGCGGCUAAUACCGAAUGCCCUCGAGAGAGGAAAGAUUUAUCGCCAGAAGAGGAGCCUGCGUCCGAUUAGGUAGUUGGUGGGGUAAAGGCCUACCAAGCCGACGAUCGGUAGCUGGUCUGAGAGGAUGAUCAGCCACACUGGGACUGAGAUACGGCCCAGACUCCUACGGGAGGCAGCAGUGGGGAAUAUUGGACAAUGGGGGCAACCCUGAUCCAGCAAUGCCGCGUGAGUGAUGAAGGCCUUAGGGUUGUAAAGCUCUUUUGCCAGGGAAGAUGAUGACUGUACCUGGAGAUAAGCCCCGGCUAACUUCGUGCCAGCAGCCGCGGUAAU
rnacentral:rRNA from 1 species